GCAGUGGGGAAUAUUGGACAAUGGGCGAAAGCCUGAUCCAGCCAUGCCGCGUGUGUGAAGAAGGUCUUCGGAUUGUAAAGCACUUUAAGUUGGGAGGAAGGGCAGUAAGUUAAUACCUUGCUGUUUUGACGUUACCAACAGAAUAAGCACCGGCUAACUUCGUGCCAGCAGCCGCGGUAAUACGAAGGGUGCAAGCGUUAAUCGGAAUUACUGGGCGUAAAGCGCGCGUAGGUGGUUCGUUAAGUUGGAUGUGAAAGCCCCGGGCUCAACCUGGGAACUGCAUCCAAAACUGGCGAGCUAGAGUAUGGCAGAGGGUGGUGGAAUUUCCUGUGUAGCGGUGAAAUGCGUAGAUAUAGGAAGGAACACCAGUGGCGAAGGCGACCACCUGGGCUAAUACUGACACUGAGGUGCGAAAGCGUGGGGAGCAAACAGGAUUAGAUACCCCGGUAGUCC
rnacentral:rRNA from 1 species